CAGGAACUUUUUUCAUUGCCUUGUUUUUCAGUUCUGGUUCCCUUAUGUAAGCAAGAGUAUAAGUAUUUUUCCAGAAGAACACAGGCACAGGGUUGGACAAUAUGAGAAGUUGCACCAAAGCUCGGAGCUAAGCAUUCUUUAUGAAUCUGGAUUCUAAUCCUUCAUCAGUCAGAGGGAACCAUGAGAAUUGAAAUAUUCGUACAAACUGGGGCUUGCUAAUUUGGUAGACUACAUGUGGAGUCAUUACUUCUGGCUAGAGAUCUAGAUUUGAAGCUGCAUGAAGGGUUUAGCCAGAGAAACGUAACAAUAAACAAAUCAUUCUGUCUGCUGAGUAAACUGAGUUGGGAAAAUCUAGACUGGAGGUGGAAGACCAGUCUGUAACUUCAGGCCUCAAGUAAGGAAAUGUCCACUGGGAUAGACAACAAUGAAUGGAAUGAAAAGCAUCAAGGAGGCAGAGUCACCAGGACCUAAUGAGUGAUUUGAUUUGGUGGGAAAGAGAAGGAAAAGGUAAGGAUGAUUGGCUGGCUCGAGGAAUGAUGUACCUGGUGGCACCAUUUGCUGAGAUGGGGAAUGCUGGAGGAAGAGGCUGGUGUCGAGGCUGCAGAUGAGUUAAACUGGGGGCAGAGAUUUCUAAAUCACAGGCUUAAAGUAAUAAUUGGAACAGUCUAGUAAAUGAGAUCACACAGGCAGGUGUAGAAGCAAAAGAGAACAUACAAAUAUAAACAUAAAAGUAAUUGCUGUUAUUACAAGAUGUUUAUGGAGAAACCGUAAAAACAUUUAACAAACCUUUUAAGAUCAAAAGCUUAAUACAGUACUUUGAAGAAAAUUAGACCCCGACUUCAAGUUAUAAGAUGAACUUAUUUUCCCACUUUACCAAGGAACAUUUCAAAGGGGAAAAAUCCUGCUUAGC